rnacentral:tRNA from 1 species
ACCGAAAUAGCUAAGUUAGGAUUGGAAGGGCGUUAAACUAUAGAUCGAAAGUCCUUGGUUCGAUCCCGGGUUCCCGCA